ACUGCUCAGUAACACGUGGAUAACCUGCCCUUGGGUCCGGCAUAACCCCGGGAAACUGGGGAUAAUUCCGGAUAACGCACAUAUGCUGGAAUGCUUUAUGCGUAAAAUGGAUUCGUCUGCCCAAGGAUGGGUCUGCGGCCUAUCAGGUAGUAGUGGGUGUAAUGUACCUACUAGCCUACAACGGGUACGGGUUGUGAGAGCAAGAGCCCGGAGAUGGAUUCUGAGACAUGAAUCCAGGCCCUACGGGGCGCAGCAGGCGCGAAAACUUUACAAUGCGGGAAACCGUGAUAAGGGGACACCGAGUGCUAGCAUCAUAUGCUGGCUGUCCAGGUGUGUAAAAUACACCUGUUAGCAAGGGCCGGGCAAGACCGGUGCCAGCAGCCGCGGUAAUACGAU
rnacentral:rRNA from 1 species